rnacentral:rRNA from 1 species
UACAGAGGUCUCAAGCGUUGUUCGGAUUCAUUGGGCGUAAAGGGUGCGUAGGCGGCGCGGUAAGUCGGGUGUGAAAUCUUGGAGCUUAACUCCGAAACUGCAUUCGAUACUGCCGUGCUUGAGGACUGGAGAGGAGACUGGAAUUUACGGUGUAGCGGUGAAAUGCGUAGAUAAUCGUAAGGAAGACCAGUGGCGAAGGCGGGUCUCUGGACAGUUCCUGACGUGAGGCACGAAAGCGUGGGGAGCAAACAGG